ACGCGUCCUUAAUGCCACGCGUCAUCAUAAGACGCCGAUAAUCUUCUCCUCUCUUCUCUCAUGUCGAUCACUUCAUCUUCUCCCCUCUUCUCUCAUGUCGAUCACGGGAAGACCACACUCAUCUCAUGGACCGGCUUCUCCGUGGACCACACUCAUCUCACUUCAUCUUCUCCCCUCUUCUCUCAUGUCGAUGGGUUUGGUAGAAGCAGAGAAAUUGGGUUGAUAGAGAACCCAAUUAAACCCAACUAAACGGCGAUAAGAGCAAGAUUAUCUCUUUUUUUGCUCUUAUCAACAAAGGUACCAGAUUGGUCUUAAGUUUGUCUACUGGUAAUCUCAGUUCAGGUCCGUUUAAGUCAACGACUACAGAAUGGCAAAGGCUGGCUUGAGGAGAAAGGGCAUGGCACUCACAGCACUGGAACUGUGAUUGCUGUCAAGAAACUCAACUCUGAAAGCUUCCAAGGCUUUGAGGAAUGGCAAUGUGAGGUGAACUUUCUUGGGAGGGUUUCUCAUCCGAACCUAGUGAAGCUGUUGGGAUACUGUUUGGAAGGUGACGAGUUGCUUCUGGUGCUGUAAGAUGAAUCAACAGAAGUACCAAAAGGUUGUGGGUAACAAACUUGAAAGAACCUUGAUAGCUAGCUCUCCCCUGUUGAGCUACCAUCGUUAGCUAGAUGUGUUAAUAUUCCACUGAGCUCUGUUAUUACUGAUUCGAUACAAGCUUUUGAUUAGAAUUCUCCUGCAUGGUGAAAGCUCUUCUUCUUCCUCUGAUUCAA